GGGGAAUUUUCCGCAAUGGGCGAAAGCCUGACGGAGCAAUACCGCGUGAGGGAGGAAGGCUCUUGGGUCGUAAACCUCUUUUCUCAGGGAAGAAGCAAUGACGGUACCUGAGGAAUCAGCAUCGGCUAACUCCGUGCCAGCAGCCGCGGUAAUACGGAGGAUGCAAGCGUUAUCCGGAAUGAUUGGGCGUAAAGCGUCCGCAGGUGGCACAUCAAGUCUGCUGUCAAAGCCCCCAGCUUAACUGGGAAGAGGCGGUGGAAACUGGUGAGCUAGAGAGCAAUAGGGGUAGAGGGAAUUCCCGGUGUAGCGGUGAAAUGCGUAGAGAUCGGGAAGAACACCAGUGGCGAAAGCGCUCUACUAGGUUGCAACUGACACUGAGGGACGAAAGCUAGGGGAGCGAAUGGGAUUAGAUACCCCUGUAGUC
rnacentral:rRNA from 1 species